rnacentral:rRNA from 1 species
AUUGAACGCUGGCGGCAGGCCUAACACAUGCAAGUCGAACGAGUGGCGGACGGGUGAGUAAUGUCUGGGAAACUGCCCGAUGGAGGGGGAUAACUACUGGAAACGGUGGCUAAUACCGCAUACUAUCGGAUGUGCCCAUAUGGGAUUAGCUAGUAGGUGGGGUAAUGGCUCACCUAGGCGACGAUCCCUAGCUGGUCUGAGAGGAUGACCAGCCAAACUGGAACUGAGACACGGUCCAGACUCCUACGGGAGGCAGCAGUGGGGAAUAUUGCACAAUGGGCGCAAGCCUGAUGCAGCCAUGCCGCGUGUAUGAAGAAGGCCUUAGGGUUGUAAAGUACUUUCAGCGAGGAGGCGUUACUCGCAGAAGAAGCACCGGCUAACUCCGUGCCAGCAGCCGCGGUAAUAC